CCUGAGGAAAAGGACGCUGUGGCCACAGCUCCUAAUCUCCCAGAGACGCAACUGGACCGUACACACAGACAGCCAGAUGUUAUGUGUGGGGGUUUCAAAGGAAAUGGACCCGAGAAAAGACCGGACGGACUAAAGACCACGUGACGAGAGGUCACAUUUAGUCUUUUGCUGCACAUAUAGGCUACAGAGGGCUGCUUAGUGAAGAAGCUCACCUGCUGAUUAAUCAAUAUGGUGAGGAGUUGCGUGAAAGCAGGUUGCUCCCAAUGACAAAGCAACAAAGAAUAUUCCCCCAGUGCAGCUGUGUCCCUCACACAUCCACAAGGGGUGCUCGAGGAGAGCAGAAGCGCACCUGAACGAGCCUGGUGAGUUGUCAGUGGGAUCCUGUCGGAUCGACGGGUGGACCUGAAACCACUAUGAAUGAAGGAUGUGGUCGCUGGUAAACUGGUCUUUAGUGCGCAUCAGUGUUUUGAGGCAGAGUGCGUCGUACCAGCAGCUGUCACCGUCCUCCAGGGCCGGCUUUUGGAAGACCUUCAGUGCACACCGGAGACAACAGAUGGAGUUUGACAAGAAGCUGGCGUGAGGCAACACAAGAGGACCCGUAACAGUUGUGAACAGCAACAAAACGAUGACAAGCUGAGAACAGAGAAGAGUUUAAGUCCACUGUUGAGCCAUCUCGGCAGGGACCCUGUGUUCUGUGUGCCGCGCCGACCCAGCCCUGCAGUGGACCGUGCCAUUCGAUCCACGCAGCCGAUGAUGAUUCACGCUCUGCGAUCCGGGGAGUGAGAGCAGGCAGAGGAAUCCCCCCCCCCUUCUCUCACCUUCCUCCCACCCUGCACAUCCAUAAUUCAGCAUUUGCGCCUUCGCCACACAACCCACCCCUCCCUCCUGUCUCUUUCAUCCCAUUGCUUUGGCUGCUGGCGUGCGCACCACAGCGCGGCGUCCACAAGCCCGAGUGCCCGCCGUCAGCAAUCCGGCCAUCUGGAGCUCCACGUCGAGCGGCGCAGGAACGCAGCUGCAACCUCUGACAAUGCAGACGUGUCUCUUCAUGAUCCCGCAUCGUUUUUGUGGUGUUUUUACAUUUUGGAAAAUAAUGUUUUUUUUAAGCAUUCAAGGAAAAGCCAAAAGGAACGAGUUUUAGCCGCAACACAGUUGUUUUGCUCUGUGGUCACUUUAAUGUGAGUCUCACAUUAUCCUGGUUAAAGGAAUAUGUAAUAACACGCUGAACAAAUAAAUGAUCCUGAUAUAUCGGAUAAGACCACUCGGUCCCUUUUGUUUUGGAGCGGCUGAAGUUUUUCCCCCCCUGGCUAGCCGUCUACGAAACCCUCUCUAAUAUUUUCUAUGUAUUGAUUGUAUAUGAGGAGGGGACACGGUUACUUUGAUCUGUUACCCUUUGGUUUGUUGACUACGGAUUUGAAGUUAUGAGUUUGAGCGUUGCUUUGCUGAAAAUCUGUCAAACUGUAUUGUGUUAAUGUCUGUUGUGGAACAUGUCGACCUUGGAAAAAAAUAAAUACUGCAUCAUGUUAGAGAUUCUGGGAUGUUUGGAUGUGAAUAGUAAGCUGACCUUUUGAUGUAAUUCUUCUGUAAUUGUUUUUUUUGGAUGUUGUUGCUUCAUCCUGUUCUUGCAUGUGUAAGAACGUCUAACUGCUCACUUGGUUUAGUUUAAUCACUCCAGUUUGGAUGUAGCGUUGUAAUGGUUGAAAUGUUUAUGUUAAUCCGAAUAUUACAAAAUAAAUCUGUGAAAACA
ensembl:lncRNA